GGAGGAUAGUCGGUAGAGCCUGAGACUCUUAAUCUCAGGAUUGUGGGUUCAAGUCCCAUGGUGGGCA